rnacentral:tRNA from 1 species
AGCAAGGUGGCUGAGUUAUAGGCUGUAGACUGUAAAUCUAUUUACGGGGGUACUCCCCUUUGUUA